AUGGGUCACCAUACUUGGCUGUAUGUCACAUCACUUUCACUUCAUUUAGAUGCUGCUGAGAAGCCUGAACAUAAGAGUCCUGUUAAAGUCAAGCAUAGUGAUUUGGAUCAUGACAAAGAGAAGAUCCCCAGAGAAGAUAAGCUUCUGUCAUCUGAAGAAACUUUACAGGAACAUAAACAGGAUGAGGAUCUCCUGUCCCCUUUUUCUGAUCCUCCAAACGAACCUGCAAGCAACAUGUCUGAUAUGGACAUGAUGCAGUUUAGUGAGUCUGCAGCUGAAGAUGUUCAAAUACCAGACGAGCAGGAUUCAGAAAAUCAGGACGGCACAGAGGAGCCAUCAGAAGCUUCUGAGGAAUGCAGUGCCUCUCUCAAUGAAAAUGCAAAAUCUGAAAUUUCAGAUUCAGCUGGAGUGGAUACAGAUAAACAUUCUGAGGAGGAGCCCACAUUUAUUUUAACUCUAUAUGAGAUUCCAGCCUCUGAGUCUGCCUUUGGGCAGCAGGACACUCCCCCUUAUGAACUGCAGCCAGCACAAGUCCAGACACCCUUGCUGUUCUCAUGCAGUUCACAUUCUCAUUACUUCACAUUAGAGCCUUCCAGUGCAUCUCCGAACAUGGCGUCUGAAGAGACCAGUAAUCUAUAUAAAAGUAGUUCUCGCAAGGUGGUGGAUGACUCCCUGGAUCCUCUUUCAAAGGAAGCAGCAGAUGAUGCUAGUACACAAUUGAUAUCCUCACUGGAAAGCAGUUGUGAUGAUGUGAACUCUUUAAUUAGUCCACCCGGGAUGUUCUCUUGUAAUUCUGCCACGCCAACACAUGUGCUGAAAUUGGAUGAGAUCCUGACAGAAUCCCCAGAAACUAAAGCACCUUCUCAGAGGAGAUGUAGAUGUCAGAAUCUACCAACAUCUCAAACCACAGCACAAACUGAGAUUGAGACCAACCAGACACUAUCUGUGCAGGAAACAGUUGGUCCUGAAAGCCACUCAAGCCUUGAAGACAGUGAGAGGGAAGCCCGUCCUGGGCCUGAUGGCAUGAUAUCAACAGCCAUUGUUCCAGGGUCUGAAGAUAUGAGAGAUGAGAGUCACCUGAAGUGGGAAUGUCCUCUCAGAACAGAACUCCAGAGGAAUGAGGACUCUGUUGUUGACCCUCCAGUGAGUCAGAAGCUAUUCUCUGUUGAAACAGACCAGUUUUUUUCUGUAUAA
ensembl:lncRNA